AACGAACGCUGGCGGCGUGCCUAACACAUGCAAGUCGAGCGAGAAAGCCCGCAAGGGUGAGUAAAGCGGCACACGGGUGCGUAACACGUGGGUAAUCUGCCCUAGAGUCUGGAAUAACUCGCCGAAAGGCGUGCUAAUGCCGUAUGAGACCACGGGAGCCUCGGCUCCUGCGGGAAAAGGUGGCCUCUGUAUACAAGCUAUCGCUCUAGGAUGAGCCCGCGGCCCACCAGCUAGUUGGCGGGGUAAUGGCCCACCAAGGCAACGACGGGUAGCUGGUCAGAGAGGACGAUCAGCCACACUGGAACUGAGACACGGUCCCGACUCCUACGGGAGGCAGCAGGGGGGAGUCUUGCGCAAUGGGCGAAAGCCUGACGCAGCAACGCCGCGUGUGUGAUGAAGGUCUUCGGAUCGUAAAGCACUGUCGCGAGGGACGAAUAAGGGUCGGGUGAACAAUCCGGUCCGAUGACGGUACCUCGAGAGGAAGCACCGGCUAACUCUGUGCCAGCAGCCGCCGUAAGAC
rnacentral:rRNA from 1 species